rnacentral:rRNA from 1 species
AUACGGAGGAUCCGAGCGUUAUCCGGAUUUAUUGGGUUUAAAGGGUGCGCAGGCGGCCAUUUAAGUCAGCGGUUAAAUCGUGGGGCUCAACCCCAUUCUGCCGUUGAUACUGGGUGGCUUGAUUGCGGUCGAGGUUGGCGGAAUUCGUUGUGGAGCGGCGAAAUGCAUUGAUAUGACGAAGAACACCGAUUGCGUAGGCAGCUGACCAGACCGCAAAUGACGCUCAUGCACGAAAGUGCGGGGAUCGAACAGGAUUAGAUACCCUGGUAGUCCGCACAGUAAACGAUGAAUACUUGUUUUCGGCGAUAUAAUGUCGGAGGCAAAGCGAAAGCGAUAAGUAUUCCACCUGGGGAGUACGCCGGCAACGGUGAAACUCAAAUGAUUGACGGGG